AUGACAAUAUUAGAAGCUUUUUCAGGAAUUGUGGCACGAGAUGGAAUUGCUGGUUUGUAUAGGGGAUUUGUGCCCAAUGCUCUGAAAACCCUACCAAACAGCAGCAUCAAGCUUACCUCAUAUGACACUGUCAAGCGUAUAAUUGCCGCUAGUGAGAAAGAAUUUCAAACAAUUACAGAGGAAAAUCGCAACAAAACAAAACAACAACAUCAACAAUCAAUGAAAGUGAACUUCAAAUUCAUCUUAUUUUAG